rnacentral:misc_RNA from 1 species
CAUUAAGCGGCUAAAAAGCGCGUUAGAGAUCAUGAAGCGAACGGAUAUUUCCAGAACGCGUAAAUGAAAGCACACUUGCGAACGAAGCAACUUUGAUAUAUAGCACCCAAACCGAACUGUUCCCAGCGGAUCAGUAAGAACCAGGACGAACAGGAGGACGAGGCGGACGAGGAGGAGGCGGACGAGGCCGACGGGCCAGAGACGGCAGCGAAACCGCCGCCGCGCCAGCGGGCACAGCGGUUAUGGAACCACAUGGCGGAGUGCCGCCGGACAGGGAUCGGCAGCUGGUGCUCCGUAAUCAGUCGGCGGCCAUCGUGCCCGUGGUCGUAUCUAUACCGCCCGCGGGACCGGCUGCAACCACGCCCACCCCGCAGCCAGCGGCACAUGCCCAAUUGUCGCUGGUGCCCAGCAAGCCAACUAGUCUGAGUCUUCAGCCUCAUGUCGUGCUCCAGGCCAUGCAACAAUUGUCGCCGUCGGCGGGCGGCAACAACAAUGCCAACAGCGCAGUCGCCACCGCCACCGCCACCAGCAGCAGCAGCGGGAAUGCGAACAGCGGCAGCAGUCCCGCCCUAGCCUCCACCGCCACCGCCAUAUCGGCCACAACGCAGGCAGCCACCGCCUUCAGCGGCAGCUCGGUGGGUCACCACCACCUGCAGCACCACCACCAGCACACGCAUCCGCAUGCCCCACAGCAGUCGCAGUCACAGUCCCAGUCACUGACACAGCCACAAACACAGCCACUGCACCAGCUCCAGCAACCGCAUCCGGCCAGUGCGUCGAGUACAGCGCCACAAAGCCACCAUCACGGCUCCAUAUCGGUCACUGGGUCAGGUGGACUACUCGGCUCCAGCGGCGGCAGUGGCAACCAACAGCAGGCCAUCGAGAAGCUGUCACGACCCAUGGCUUUCGAUAAGAUGGAAAUGCUGGUGCGGGAGAUGCAGGAUCAGGAACAUGGCGUGCCUGUGCGCCAGCAGAAGAUGUUUCUGACUUCCAUACCAUAUGCGUUUAUGGGAUACGAUCUAAUUGAAUGGCUGAUGGAUCGCCUGCAGAUUGAGGAGUCGGAGGCCCUGAACAUUGCCAAUCAACUGUGUCUGCACGGCUACUUCUUUCCGGUCAACGACUCAAAGACGCUGACCGUUAAGGACGACUCGUCGCUGUAUCGAUUCCAAACGCCCUACUACUGGCCCUGGCAGCACAAGGCGCCGGACAACGUGGAGUACGCCAUCUAUUUGGCCAAGCGAUCGCUGCGCAACAAGCAGCGCCAUGCACUGGAGGACUACGAGGCGGAGGCACUGGCCUCCCUGCACAAGAACCUGAAGGGCAAGUGGGACUUCAUCUCGAUGCAGGCCGAGGAGCAGGUGCGGCUGGCCAAGGAGCGCAAGAAAGGUGACAAGAUCGUGGGAGACUCGCAGGAACGUGCUUACUGGAGAGUUCACCGUCCACCACCUGGCCAGUUCACUCCGUUGGAGCCCUGUCCAGUGCCUUCGCGCGAUCGUCAGGGCCUCAAGCCCAAUAAAAAAAAGACUGUCGAUGACAUGCAGCGCGACGUUGACUACUUGGGCAAGUCGCUCAAUCGGACGCGGAUGAAGAUGUCGCAGGCCUGCGAGUCGCUCGUUUGCUACUCGGAGACAUUCUCCGAAUACGAUUUCUUUCUGCAGCCGGCACUGCCCUCCAAUCCGUGGGUCACCGAGGAUAUUGCCUUCUGGCAGCUGAACAACACCUUUGUGGACAUUCCCACAGAGAAGCGCGUCAAGCGCUGGGCCAUCUCCAUCGAGGAGCUCGUCUCCGAUCCCACUGGUCUGCAGGAGUUCACCGGCUUCCUGGAGAAGGAGUACUCCCACGAGAACAUCCGCUUCUGGAUAGCAGUCAAUCGAUUGCGCCGUUCCGCCCACUCCCAAGUGGCGCGAAAGGUCAACGAAAUCUACGAGGAGUUCUUGAAGCCCGGCGCACCUUGCGAGAUUAAUAUUGACGGAAAGACCAUGGAGAGCGUGCUCAAGGGCCUGAAGAAUCCAUCGCGGUUCACGUUUGACUCGGCAUCGGAGCACAUAUACAUGCUGCUGCUGAAGAAGGAUUGCUACCCGAGAUUCAUACGGUCGGAGCACUACAAACGCCUGCUGGACACCGGCAUUCAGCCGUCGUACAAGAAGCGCUUUUUCAACUUUGGCGGCGUGAGCGGUGCCAAGAAGAAAAUGACAGCCGCGCUGAGUAGCCAGCCGAAUCUGGGGGAUGCGGCCAAAGGACCCGGCGGCACAUCCGCCGGCAGCUCCAUGAUGCAGGCUCCGCCGCCCGGAAAUCUCGCCCGUCGUCGUGGCAGCGAUCGCAGUCUGACGGGCUCCGCCCACGAGCUGGCCGUGAUCGGUGUGAACAAGGAUGCCGGCUCCAAGGUACCGCACUCUCAUUCCCAGAGUAAUCUCAGCGAAAUCCCCUUCAGAGAAACGCCAAAGACGAAGACCACCGUCCUCGACGCCACGGAGUCCACAUCGUCGUCCACAGCUCUGGUUGUGGCGGCCAGCAGUGCCGUCUGCCCGUGGGAUGAGCCAGCCGAACCAGUUCCGCCGCCGCCGGCGCAAGUGAAGCUAUCCGUGUGUCCCUGGGAACUGGAUAGUGCCACAGAGCCGCCGGCAGCGGCUCCAGUAGUGGGAGGUGGAGCGUCGAAGAUCCUGAGUUCCACCGGGCAACCACUGCGAUUGAAUAGCACUUCCUCGGACAACAGCGAUGUGAAUGAUCGAAUGCAGCGCAAUUUGGGCAUUCGCCAUCAGAACACCGUGGACAGCGGCGAAGCAGGCAUAAAGCGUCUGAUUCCCAACAUUCCGGAGCAGCGUCGGGCAUCGGUCUCAUUUACACCAAGCCCCACUCCGGAUUUCCAGCUAGGACGCACUGCAACGACGACCUCCUCGCCCACUGUGGCGCCCAGCAGCUCCACUCCGCUGCAGGCUCGCAGUGCUGUGUACGGCAGUGGCCAAGGCAUCGCCAAAGAUCCACCAUCUGGCUCGGAUGUCGAUGCGGAAUUGGAGGAGGAACUUAACAAAAUAUCCCUGGGCGAGUCCUCAACAUCGGAACCGCCGCUUCUAGUGGUACCCACCCCCGAACAGACCCCGCCGCCCAUAACCAAGAUCACGCCGGCACCGGGAGAAUGCGAGAAUCAGGCGGAUCAGGUGGUCGAUUCGACCGAGAUCCCGGAAAGCUCCUGCUCAACCCAAGCCAACCAGCUCAGCGAGGCCCCAGCGACUGUGACCACGGUUAAGGAGGUCCAAAUCGAACUGAUCGAGCAGAGCAGUGGUCUCCACACACAGCCAGGUAGUCCGCCCACCAUUAAGGUCCUGGUGCUAGAAGCAAGUGCGCCCGUGUCCGCUGAGAUCGCAGCAGCAGAACCGGGCGAGGAUCAGGCACAGACAGCAACCACCGCCACCAUCACCACCGAGGAUCAAGCAGAGCGGGCGGACGACACAGAAAAGGUCGCUGACUUAGAGCAGACGGUUCUGGACGAGCUUUCACCAACCACCGACGAGUACCAGGAGGGACUGCAGUUUGGCGAUGCCAAGGAUGCAGUGGACGACUUUGACAGCAUAGACGUUGGCUAUAUACCGCCAGCACCCACCCCGGCGCCCUCAAUGGCGCCCCUGGCCGAACUGGACGUGGACACCGUGGACGACGAGCCCUGCGAGCCGUGCGACCCGCCCGCUCCUCCUCCUCCUGUUCCGCCCAGCAGCAGCAGCAGCAGGGAAUUGGUGAUGGCCUCCGGCUCGGCCUCGGCCUCGGUCACGGCCACGCCCACAUUCAGCAACGAGGAGGCGCGCAAGCGGCGCAAGAAGCGAAACCCGGAGGGCAAGAAACUUAGCUCGCAGGACGAAAAGGACAAGGAGGCGCGCGAAAGGGCCGGCGGCAGCAGCAUGGAUGCAACUGACCACAAUGCGGUGUGUCCAUGGGAAGACGAGAACGUCAGCACCAACGACGGCACCUUCGUGAAGACAUAUGCCACACUGGGAUACUUAUGAAUAAAGCCCAAUCUGUUCAAGACGGUGGUCAACAAGUUGCUGAAUAGGAAGCCAUUGAAGAAGUAGGGCCAGGCCUGGGUAGCUAAGUUUAUUAUACGGAGUAUCUAUUAUAAUACGUACAUGCAAACAUACAUAUUAUGUAAAUA